UUUUUUAUCAUGUAUAAAUAACUGAUUUUAAGCUAUGCCACAAAGAGGAUCAUCUGAUGGGGGGACCCAUACGGAGAUGUUGGUACCUCCUCGUCUUAGCAGCUGUCUACCGAGGCAGGCACAUCAUCUCCUAUCACGAUAGCUAAUACUAUCAUUAGACGAACUCGUGAAGUCAUAAGAAAUGAGAAGUUGGAGGAGUGGAGGAGGGCACAUCUUGGGGAGAGGAUGAGGGUUAUCAUCCCAUCAGGAUAUGAUCUACCACUUCAGUGCCACAUCAGGGAUUCAUACGUGUGCGAGGUUGGCAUUAUUAUCCGAGCGUACACUCUCUUGACUAUGUUCGACUGGUGGAGAGUGACAAAGCCAUAGAAGCAGAUCCUCCUUGAUCAUUUAUAGGUAACUAAAUAUAAAUUAUGAUAUAUUUUUUAAAUACAGAUCUUUCUAUUUUUUUAUAUUUAAUUUGAUAAUUAUUUAACUUUUAUUUUUUUAAAUAUCAUACAUUGUACGUUAUUUGUACAGCACGACUUUGAGAUCGAGGAGAUUAAUACCCAAUGUGUGCGGGGGGCUAUCCUUAGGCAUAUGGGGAGGUUGCUUAAGGGGUUCAGAUAUAAGCUCCAUAGCCACUGGAAGGAAGUCUUCAAUGCACGUGGGGCAGUGGUAGCACAUAAGACACCCCAUAAGAAUGUUUCAUGCCUUAACUAGAAUCUCCUAUGCAACAAGUACGAGGACCCUGUAUACCGAAUAUAACUAUUAUAUAUAAUAAAAAUAUCAAUUAUUGAAUUGAUAUGGUAUUGUAAUAUGUUCACUCAUAUCGUGAAUGUAUUUGCUUAUUAGGCUUUUUGUCAAAAGAAUACAGAGAAUCGAUCGAGGCUCACGGUGAUGCAUUGUGGCGGAUCGAAGUCAUUUGCGCAGCAUUAGUAUGAGCUGAGGGACAUCGAGACAGGACAGCUGUUGGGAUGGAUUGAAGUCUACCAAAAGACCCAUCAUUGGGCGAUGGGGGAGUGGCUUCUUAGGACUAGGG